rnacentral:rRNA from 1 species
AUUGAACGCUGGCGGCAUGCCUUACACAUGCAAGUCGAACGGUAACAGGUCUUCGGAUGCUGACGAGUGGCGAACGGGUGAGUAAUACAUCAGAACGUGCCUAGUAGUGGGGGAUAACUACCCGAAAGAGUGGCUAAUACCGCAUGAGAUCUACGGAUGAAAGCAGGGGAUCGCAAGACCUUGUGCUACUGGAGCAGCCGAUGGCAGAUUAGGUAGUUGGUGGGAUAAAAGCUUACCAAGCCGAGGAUCUGUAGCUGGUCUGAGAGGACGAUCAGCAACAAUGGGACUGAGACACGGCCCAGACUCCUACGGGAGGCAGCAGUGGGGAAUUUUGGACAAUGGGCGAAAGCCUGAUCCAGCAAUGCCGCGUGCAGGAUGAAGGCCUUCGGGUUGUAAACUGCUUUUGUACGGAACGAAAAGCCCCGGGUUAAUACCCUGGGGUCAUGACGGUACCGUAAGAAUAAGCACCGGCUAACUACGUGCCAGCAGCCGCCGUAA